AGAAGGGGAAACACCUUCAUUGACGUCACGAGGGAUCGAUUUACCUUUUUAAAAGACCCAUUAGCGAUACUGGACGGAUGGGACUGGACCGUGGUCCUCUGUCCUAAAUAAGGACCGACACAACACUACUAGGCUUGGCAUAGAUAAGCGAGGAGAGGGAGAGAGCGAGAUAUAAUAGGUUACAAUUGAUUAAAUUUUAUUUCUUUUAAAUCACCCGCCUAUUAUAUUAUGAUUUUGAAGGAAAGAAUAAGAGGUGUUUCUACACGUCAAGUAUUUGAAAUAACACUAUAGAAUAGUGAUUAUAAAAAUAAUUAAAAUUUUCAAUAUCAGCGGUACUUGAUUUACUUCGUGAAACUAAAAAAAAACUUUCAUCUUUCAAUAUAUAUGAUUAGUCAUGGAUUACUAAACAUCUGGAUAAACCAUUUGUUUUUAAAAUAACACAACUUCUUUAUUAGAAGUAUUUCUGUUUUGAUACAAUAAAAAUGGAUUACUCUUCCUAGACGUGGAAUAUGCCUUCAAAUUGUGUAGUUCCUUGUUGCUACACUGGUAAAACAACGGAUCGAAAAUUCAAUGAUAAUAAAAUAAGAACUUAUUUGCAUAAAGUUCCUACAUCAAACAUGGAAAUUCUUAAUAAAUGUAAAUCAGAUAUGCUAAUAAAUUAGAUACCUGGUAAAAAAUACAAUAUGUUUAUUUUUAUUAUAUUGGAUGAGUGUUAAUAUACGAUUAUUAUUGUGUAUAUGUAUGACAGUGUUUCAGAUUCAACCCCGAUUUUACUGCCAUAAGUGUGAAAAAAAUAUUUUGUCGAAAAUAAACAUUGAGAAUUGUUUAAUAA
rnacentral:lncRNA from 1 species